rnacentral:misc_RNA from 1 species
CUGGAGCGCAAAUUGCUCUUGGCUGGUUUUCUGGAAGUGCAAGCGCUCGAGGACACUCAAUCCCUCACUAUCACUGGCAAGAAGGCUUCUUGGAAGGCGGGUUCAUCCUUCGCUCUCAAGAAGGCAACUAAGACCAUUCCCAAGCUUCAGAUUGAUGAUGACUCUGAACUUAUAGAUGAGGACAGCCUUCUGACUGAAGACGACCUGAAGAAACCACAACUACCACUGGUUGGAGAUUGCGAAGUUGGAAGCACAAGGAAAGCCUGCAAGAACUGCACCUGCGGACGGGCCGAAG